rnacentral:rRNA from 1 species
UACGAAGGGGGCUAGCGUUGUUCGGAAUUACUGGGCGUAAAGCGCACGUAGGCGGACAUUUAAGUCAGGGGUGAAAUCCCGGGGCUCAACCCCGGAACUGCCUUUGAUACUGGGUGUCUUGAGUUCGGAAGAGGUGAGUGGAAUUGCGAGUGUAGAGGUGAAAUUCGUAGAUAUUCGCAGGAACACCAGUGGCGAAGGCGGCUCACUGGUCCGAUACUGACGCUGAGGUGCGAAAGCGUGGGGAGCAAACAGG